rnacentral:rRNA from 1 species
AUGGAACGCUGGCGGCAUGCCUUACACAUGCAAGUCGAACGGCAGCGGGCCUUCGGGUGCCGGCGAGUGGCGAACGGGUGAGUAAUGCAUCGGAACGUGCCAUUGAGUGGGGGAUAACGUAGCGAAAGUUGCGCUAAUACCGCAUAUUCUGUGAGCAGGAAAGCAGGGGACCGCAAGGCCUUGCGCUCUUUGAGCGGCCGAUGUCAGAUUAGCUAGUUGGUGAGGUAAAGGCUUACCAAGGCGACGAUCUGUAGCGGGUCUGAGAGGAUGAUCCGCCACACUGGAACUGAGACACGGUCCAGACUCCUACGGGAGGCAGCAGUGGGGAAUUUUGGACAAUGGGGGCAACCCUGAUCCAGCCAUGCCGCGUGAGUGAAGAAGGCCUGG